GUCUAUGGCUAUGCCAUCCUGAACAAGCCCAAUCCCGUCUGAUCUCAGAAGCUAAGCAGGAUCGGGCUUGGUUAGUACUUGGAUGGGAGACUAAAUAAAUAAGUAAGUAAGUAAGUA
rnacentral:rRNA from 1 species